rfam:Toxocara canis scaffold592, whole genome shotgun sequence.
CGGGCAGUAGCUCAGUGGUAGAGCUCUUGCUUAGUAUGCGGGAAGACCUGGGUUCGAUUUCCCACUGCUUAC